AGAGCACCGCCCACCUCUCUGGGCAUUUAGGAGCAGGCUGCUCCCGCCCCAUGCAGGAGGCAGUGCCAGGCAGGACCCAGCAUGGACACGAGGGCCCCCACUCAGCUGCUGGGGCUCCUGCUGCUCUGGCUCCCAGGUGCCAGAUGUGCCUAUGAUAUGACCCAGACUCCAUCCUCCGUGUCUGCCGCUGUGGGAGGCACAGUCACCAUCAAUUGCCAGGCCAGUCAGAGCAUUAGCAACCAACUAUCCUGGUAUCAGCAGAAACCAGGGCAGCCUCCCAAGCUCCUGAUCUACUGGGCAUCCACUCUGGCAUCUGGGGUCCCAUCGCGGUUCAAAGGCAGUGGAUCUGGGACACAGUUCACUCUCACCAUCAGUGGCGUGCAGUGUGACGAUGCUGCCACUUACUACUGUCAAAGCAUUUAUAGUAGUAGUGCUGGUACCACAGUGUUACAAGCCCUAAUAAAAACCACCCAGGAAAGCAACAGCACCGACAUGACCAUGUCCCUGCUGUUCUAAAGGAAAUGAAUUAUUCUGUCUGAGUAUUCAAAGCUUGAGCAUCAUUUUGGAUUCAUCGAGUAAAAGAGAAAUCAUUAUAUGUAUUCCAAGCAAAAUGAGUUCAAAUACAAGUGAUUAUAUAAA